ACCCCCCUGUCUCUCUGUCCUCCCUCUCCUUCCUGGGCUUCUUCCUGCCUUCUCACUGUCAAGCUGCUGAAGUCUUCAAACAAGGAAACUCAGGAAGGUGUACACUUGCAUUUCAGAAGCUGCAGGAGUGUGCAGGUUGGACCAAGGGACGACAUGCUAAAGCCAACAUGUAGAUCAGAAAACUCUUUAGAAAAGUGUUCCGAGUCCACCACUUCAGAGGACUGACUAUCAG
rnacentral:lncRNA from 1 species